rnacentral:miRNA from 1 species
AAUGGUCUAAAAGAGCUUCCUUUGGCCCAUUCAUGGACGAUAUUGGGGGUUGAAUUAGCUG